UCGGCAGACCAGACGGUCGCGGAUGUUGUUUUAUGCAACAGAUGAGGAAAGUCCGGGCUUCAUAGGACAGGGUGCCGGUUAACGGCCGGUGGAGGUAACUCUAAGGAAAGUGCAACAGAAAAUUACCGCCUGCAAUAUGCAGGUAAGGGUGAAAAGGCGAGGUAAGAGCUCACCGGCGUCCGGGAGAUCGGGCGGCCGUGUAAACCCCACCUGAAGCAACACCGAAAAAGAGCGUUACGUUGGUCCGACAGCUCUGAAGGUGGCUUGAGCUGUGCAGUAAUGCACAUGCGUAGAUAGAUGACCGUCCACGACAGAACCCGGCUUACGGUCUGCCGAUUUU
rnacentral:RNase_P_RNA from 1 species